AGAACGAAUGCUGGCGGCAGGCUUAACACAUGCAAGUCGAGCGCCCCGCAAGGGGAGCGGCGCACGGGUGAGUAACGCGUGGGAAUAUGCCCUUUGGUACGGAAUAGCCUCGGGAAACUGGGAGUAAUACCGUAUAUGACGAAAGUUGAAAGAUUUAUCGCCAAAGGAUUAGCCCGCGUUAGAUUAGCUUGUUGGUGGGGUAAUGGCCUACCAAGGCGACGAUCUAUAGCUGGUCUGAGAGGAUGAUCAGCCACACUGGAACUGAGACACGGUCCAGACUCCUACGGGAGGCAGCAGUGGGGAAUAUUGGACAAUGGGCGCAAGCCUGAUCCAGCCAUGCCGCGUGAGUGAAGAAGGUCUUCGGAUUGUAAAGCUCUUUCGACGGGGACGAUGAUGACGGUACCCGUAGAAGAAGCCCCGGCUAACUUCGUGCCAGCAGCCGC
rnacentral:rRNA from 1 species